GCGAACGCUGGCGGCGUGCCUAACACAUGCAAGUCGAACGUGAAAAGGGAAACCUGAGUACAGUGGCGUACGGGUGAGUAACGCGUAGGUAAUCUACCCCAGAAUCUGGAAUAACCUGCCGAAAGGCGGGCUAAUACUGGAUAGAGCGAGGGAACUCGUAAGAGAGUUUUUCGGGAAAGGGAGCCCGCAAGGGCCUUCGUUCUGGGAUGAGCCUGCGUCUCAUUAGCUAGUUGGUAAGGUAACGGCUUACCAAGGCGAUGAUGAGUAGCUGGUCUGAGAGGAUGAUCAGCCACACUGGAACUGAAACACGGUCCAGACUCCUACGGGAGGCAGCAGUGGGGAAUCUUGCGCAAUGGACGAAAGUCUGACGCAGCCACGCCGCGUGAGUGAAGAAGGCCUUCGGGUUGUAAAGCUCUGUCGGAUGGGACGAACAUCUUCAUAGUGAAUAGCUAUGAGGACUGACGGUACCAUCAAAGGAAGCACCGGCUAACUCCGUG
rnacentral:rRNA from 1 species